GCACGCUGCACUAGAGAUCUGCUCAGAGAACCACUGCACCACAGGACACCGGUGGCCAGCUGCCUUUCUCACCAAAAACCUGAAAUAAACAAGUUGUUUAGAGCUCUUGUUUGAAUGGAUGAGGCACACUGGAUGCUGGGAAUUACAGCUAGGGUUCACUGCCAACUGGGUGAGCAUCCAUAAGGCCUCAUGACCCCGACACAAAAGAGCAGAUAAACAUGGGCUCCCAGCAACCCCUGCUUUUCAACCAUCAUCUCUGAUUUAACCCCA
ensembl:lncRNA